UGGGGAAUAUUGGACAAUGGGGGCAACCCUGAUCCAGCGAUGCCGCGUGUGUGAAGAAGGCCUGAGGGUUGUAAAGCACUUUCGGUGGGGAGGAGAGGCAUUAGGUUAAGAGCUAGAUGCUGAGACGUUACCCACAAAAGAAGCACCGGCUAACUCCGUGCCAGCAGCCGCGGUAAUACGGAGGGUGCGAGCGUUAAUCGGAAUUAUUGGGCGUAAAGGGUGCGUAGGUGGUAUGAUAAGUUAUCUGUGAAAACCCUGGGCUCAACCUGGGGGAGAGAGAUAAGACUGUUGAACUAGAGUAUGGGAGAGGGCAGUGGAAUUUCCGGUGUAGCGGUGAAAUGCGUAGAGAUCGGAAGGAACACCGGUGGCGAAGGCGGCUGCCUGGCCUAAUACUGACACUGAGGCACGAAAGCGUGGGGAGCAAACAGG
rnacentral:rRNA from 1 species